rnacentral:tRNA from 1 species
GUGCUUGUGGUGUAGUGGUUAUCACAUCCGCCUAACACGCGGAAGGUCCCAGGUUCGAUCACUGGCAGGCACA